rnacentral:rRNA from 1 species
UACGUAGGCAGCGAGCGUUGUUCGGAGUUACUGGGCGUAAAGGGUGUGUAGGCGGUUGUUUAAGUUUGGUGUGAAAUCUCCCGGCUCAACUGGGAGGGUGCGCCGAAUACUGAAUGACUUGGAGUGCGGGAGAGGAAAGUGGAAUUCCUGGUGUAGCGGUGAAAUGCGUAGAUAUCAGGAGGAAUACCGAUGGCGAAGGCAGGUCUCUGGGCUGACACUGACGCUCAUGCACGAAAGCGUGGGGAGCAAACAGG